CAUUCUGCCAACACCUCCCGCAGGGAGGCCUGUUUUCAGUCCAACAACCAACGCACUGCCACCCGUCCCACCCAAACGUUUGUGGGCCGUAUUGCCAGCCCACCGGCAGGUUNGUUCCUGCCUCCCCCCUUUGUGCGUGCCGUUCUGUCUGUUUAGCAAAGGAGGGUCAGGUGCAGUUCCCUGGUCCGUACUUUCUAGCACAAAAACGAGACACACAAACCGAGUAUAAGCAAAGCCCAGGGCUAGUCAUAGGAGGAUCUAGACCAAUACCACGGAUCUUACAACGGAUGGUUUUGGCUGGUCUGUAGCGUAUGAAGAACGCAGCGACCAUGCAAGANCACAGUAAUGAUGGAUCUGCAGNNAUUCAGUGAAUGCAUCGAAUGCAUAUUGANACGCAAUCCUUCGCACCCCUUGGUUAUUCCGAGGGGUACACACCGUCUUGAGUGUCGUGAAUUUCUCAAACCGUUCCUUGCGUUUCGUUGAUCAAGAAGGCUGUGGACUGUUGUGAGGUACAUUUGCCGGCUGUUGCGAAAAGUCGGCUCCUCUUAAAUAGCAUUAGUGAGGUGUCCCUCUCUCUGUCCGAUCUACUAUGGCGUGUGAUAAAUACAGUAUUCUACGUACUUGGGAUUUAGCUCUGUUCCUUGGGAACCUGCUUCUAACCGUCUCACCGUCGGAGACAUCGUUCGAGCUUGCUCGACCCACGAACCUUGACCUCAAAUCGGGUGAGACUACCCGCUGAACUUAAGCAUAUCAAUAAGCGGAGGAAAAGAAACUAACAAGGAUUCCCCUAGUAACUGCGAGUGAAGCGGGCAAAAGCUCAAAUUUAAAAUCUGGUGGCCAUCCGCCAUCUCGUGCUUGUUUAUAGGAAAGGAAGAUCC
rnacentral:rRNA from 1 species